GCGGGUGUGGCGGAAUUGGCAGACGCACUAGCCUUAGGAGCUAGCGGAUCACCGUGCAGGUUCAAGUCCUGUCACCCGCACCA
rnacentral:tRNA from 1 species